rnacentral:rRNA from 1 species
AUGGCCGGCCGCCGCGUGCUCGUCCGAUGCGUGCUGAGUGCCAUGCCGACCUUCGCCCUCACCGUCCUCCGUGUCCCAAAGAAAAUUCUCAAGGAGAUCGACAAGUGCAGGCGACGUUUCCUCUGGUGCCAGGACGACGAGAUUUCGGGCGCCAGCUGCAAGGUCAACUGGCCGGCGGUCUGCGCCCCGACGGAGCAAGGAGGCCUGGGCAUCCCUGACCUGCAGCGUUUUGGCAGAGCGCUGCGGCUGCGCUGGCUCUAG